rnacentral:misc_RNA from 1 species
UCAAACUUGGUCAUUUAGAGGAAGUACAAGUCGUAACAAGGUAUCCGUAGGUGAACCUGCGGAUGGAUCAUUACCAAAGGAUUAACUUCCAACGUAUUGUGAACUGUUUUGACUGACAGUCAGUGAUUGUUUAGCUCCUAGGAGCGGCUUUCACUGACUGUAUAAACUAAACGUAUUUUUUAAACUGAACUACUGUAGUAUUGAACUAUAGACAACUUUUAGCAAUGGAUCUCUUGGUUCUCGCAUCGAUGAAGAACGCAGC